UUUAGCGCGGCCAACAUGCAAGUCGAGCGGACAGAAUGGGGAGCUUGCUCCCUGAUGUUAGCGGCGGACGGGUGAGUAACACGUGGGUAACCUGCCUGUAAGACUGGGAUAACUCCGGGAAACCGGGGCUAAUACCGGAUGGUUGUUUGAACCGCAUGGUUCAAACAUAAAAGGUGGCUUCGGCUACCACUUACAGAUGGACCCGCGGCGCAUUAGCUAGUUGGUGAGGUAACGGCUCACCAAGGCAACGAUGCGUAGCCGACCUGAGAGGGUGAUCGGCCACACUGGGACUGAGACACGGCCCAGACUCCUACGGGAGGCAGCAGUAGGGAAUCUUCCGCAAUGGACGAAAGUCUGACGGAGCAACGCCGCGUGAGUGAUGAAGGUUUUCGGAUCGUAAAGCUCUGUUGUUAGGGAAGAACAAGUACCGUUCGAAUAGGGCGGUACCUUGACGGUACCUAACCAGAAAGCCACGGCUAACUACGUGCCAGCAGCCGCGGUAAUACGUAGGUGGCAAGCGUUGUCCGGAAUUAUUGGGCGUAAAGGGCUCGUAGGCGGUUUCUUAAGUCUGAUGUGAAAGCCCCCGGCUCAACCGGGGAGGGUCAUUGGAAACUGGGGAACUCGAGUGCAGAAUAGGAGAGUGGAAUUCCACUUGUAUCCUGAAAUGCGUACAUAUGUGGAUGAACACCAUUUGCAAUGGCAAUCUCUUGUCUGUAACUGACACUGAUGAGCAAAUAUCUGUGAUUUACCAGUAUCAAUCCCGGGUACUCCACCCUCUAACAUUUCAUUGUAACUUUUAGUGGGUCUUUUCCUUAAUUGCCAACCAUUAAUUUUCUACUCAAACUUAAUAAUGUUUUUACUUCCCCAAUCCAUUAUACUUUUUUUUCAUCACAACCUUUCUCUUUUCCUUUUUUCUAUUUAUCCUUCCUCCCUUCUUCCCUCAUCUACUUCUCCCCCUUUUCUCUUCCUUAUUACAAAUUAUAAUUUUCUAUUUUUUUCAUCCUCUUUUUCAUUCUUAUCUUCCUCUUUUUAACUUUACUUCUACUACUAUUUUAUAUCUAUUUUUAUUU
rnacentral:rRNA from 1 species